rnacentral:rRNA from 1 species
UACGUAGGUGGCAAGCGUUGUCCGGAAUUAUUGGGCGUAAAGGGCUCGUAGGCGGUUUGUCGCGUCGGGAGUGAAAACCUCGGGCUUAACUCGGGGCUUGCUUUCGAUACGGGCAGACUGGAGGUAUGCAGGGGAGAACGGAAUUCCUGGUGUAGCGGUGAAAUGCGCAGAUAUCAGGAGGAACACCGGUGGCGAAGGCGGUUCUCUGGGCAUGACCUGACGCUGAGGCGCGACAGCGUGGGGAGCAAACAGG